rnacentral:rRNA from 1 species
UACGUAGGGACCAAGCGUUGUUCGGAUUUACUGGGCGUAAAGGGCGCGUAGGCGACGUGGUAAGUCACUUGUGAAAUCUCUGAGCUUAACUCAGAACGGUCAAGUGAUACUGCUGUGCUAGAGUGCGGAAGGGGCAAUCGGAAUUCUUGGUGUAGCGGUGAAAUGCGUAGAUAUCAGGAGGAACACCGAUGGCGAAGGCAGGUUACUGAGCCACAACUGACGCUGAGGCACGAAAGCGUGGGGAUCAAACAGG